GGUCUAAUAGUGUAGAGGUUAUCACACGGGAUUUUGAUAGUAUCUCGCCGGUUUACGUAGUUCACUUCCCGUAACCCAGGUUCGAGUCCUGGUUAGACCU